UAGGGAAUAUUAGUAAUGGGCGAAAGCCUGAACUAGCAACGCCGCGUGUGCGAAGAAGGCCUUCGGGUUGUAAAGCACUUUUUGAGAGGAUGAGGAAGGACGGUACUCUCAGAAUAAGUCUCGGCUAACUACGUGCCAGCAGCCGCGGUAACACGUAGGAGGCGAACGUUAUCCGGAUUUACUGGGCGUAAAGCGCGUGUAGGUGGUAUGGUAAGUAGGGCGUGAAAGCUCCUGGCUCAACUGAGAGGGGCCGUUCUAAACUACAGAACUAGUAGAUGGUAGAGGGAGGAGGAAUUCCAGGUGUAGAAGUAGAACGCGUAGAUCUCUGGAGGAACACCGGUGGAGAAGGCGGCCUCCUGAACCAUUACUGACACU
rnacentral:rRNA from 1 species